rnacentral:rRNA from 1 species
UACGAAGGGGGCUAGCGUUGUUCGGAUUUACUGGGCGUAAAGCGCACGUAGGCGGAUUGGUCAGUUAGGGGUGAAAUCCUGGAGCUCAACUCCAGAACUGCCUUUAAUACUGCCAGUCUCGAGUCCGGAAGAGGUAAGUGGAACUCCUAGUGGUAGAGGUGGAAUUCGUAGAUAUUAGGAAGAACACCAGUGGCGAAGGCGGCUUACUGGUCCGGU